rnacentral:rRNA from 1 species
GACGAACGCUGGCGGCGUGCUUAACACAUGCAAGUCGAACGGAAAGGCCCUGCUUUUGUGGGGUGCUCGAGUGGCGAACGGGUGAGUAACACGUGAGUAACCUGCCCUUGACUUUGGGAUAACUUCAGGAAACUGGGGCUAUUACCGCAUAGGAGCUCCUGCUGCAUGUGGGUGGUUGGAAAGUUUCGGCGGUUGUGGAUGGACUCGCGGCUUACCAGCUUGUUGGUGAGGUAGUGGCUUACCAAGGGUUUGAGGGAUAGCCGGCCUGAGAGGGUGACCGGCGACAAUGGGACUGAGAGAGGGCCCAGAAUCCUACGGGAGGCAGUAGUGGGGAGUAUGGCACAGUGGGGGGAAGCGUGAUGCAGAAACGCUGCGUGCGGAAUGACGGCCUUCGGGUGGUGAACAGAUUUCGACUGUGCCGAAGAGUGAGUGACGGUACUGGGUCAAGAAGCACCGGCUAACUACGUG